UACGUAGGAGACGAGCGUUGUCCGGAGUUACUGGGCGUAAAGGGUGCGCAGGCGGCCCGCCGCGUGUGGGGUAAAAUCUCCCGGCUCAACUGGGAGGGUGCGCCGAAUACUGAAAGACUAGAGUGCGGGAGAGGAAAGUGGAAUUCCUGGUGUAGCGGUGAAAUGCGUAGAUAUCAGGAGGAACACCGGUGGUGUAGACGGCUUUCUGGACCGUAACUGACGCUGAGACACGAAAGCGUGGGUAGCAAACAGG
rnacentral:rRNA from 1 species